GCGGGUGUGGCGGAACCGGUAGACGCGCCAGAUUCAAAAUCUGGUUCAGGCAACUGAGUGGGAGUUCAAGUCUCCCCACCCGCACCA
rnacentral:tRNA from 3 species